UGCUUCCUGGUGUGCCCACAUGCAGUGAGCAUCCUUAGGCUCCUGCUGCUCUGCCUUCUCCACUGUGAUGGACUGUGCUCGAUCUCAAACAGUGAGAGAGUCCAAGAUGGCUUUGGUAGCAGACAGACUUUACUCUAAGAAUGCACUGGAAGCAGGGGCAAGGUAGGACCACACCAGCAGUGUCAUAUAGGAAAUGAUAGGGCCCAGACCAUCAGAAACCAUUUAAGCUAGAGAUUACAGUCAUCCUCAAAUCUGAAUUGACCCUCAGGUCAAGAUUGGUGCCCUUCUGAGCACAGAGUGAAGAUCUGUGGUUCUCUUGUUUUUUUCUUCUUGACUCCUGGCACUUUGAGGACCAACAGUCUUAGAUUGUACUUGUCAGAUCAUGGAACGAGGGAAACCUGGAAGGGAAAAUCCAAACAAAUCCAGGUCCCAGAUUCCCAGGCAGAGGCCACUAACACACUCCUGAAAAAGUGAAGUUCAAGUGAAAAGCACAUGAGGUCUCUGACUGCCAGGAUGCCCAAAUAGCAUUCAACAUAGAGAAGUUUGCCCUAUGGUCUCUUCUGGAGUUAGAUGACACAUAGGGAAAAUGUAGAGUUUCAAUUUACACUCUGACAUGAGUCACCGAACACUCUGAGUCUGAGUUCAUUUGCUUGUGACUUCAGUAAAUGGGACUGAACAGGGAGCUAGUCGACUGUGACCUGGUGCCUUGGUGGCUUCUGAUACAGGGUGAUGAAGCUGGAGUUUGCCUGGCCGCCUUUUAUAGUCAUAUAAAAAUUGAAUUUGGUCUCCACCCAGCUUCCUUCCUGUUCAGAAACAUUCAUAGAACACGAGAAGGAACAUUGAACUCAUUAUCCACUGGCUUGGACAGUCUCAUGGUACCUGAACCUUGGGAACCUGCUUCUGUAUUCUCACCUGGCCUCCCCUGCAGAACAGGGAUCUGAUAAUAGUCACAAAUCUUCUUGACCAUCAUGUCUACUUCUGAGGCUGAGAUGGAAUUGUGGUCUGGUCUUUACAAGCUUAGAUCAGGUUUAUUCCCACGUGGAGGUUUUCCAUUUCCACUGCACCCCCAGUUGCUGAUCUUUUUGCUUCUCUUCCCAAGACCCCAUCUUUAGAGUGUCCUAGAGCUGAAAAGGUUGAGCCCACCUUCUCUCUAAGCCAGGCUCCAGGGCACCUCUGAAUCCUCUUUCACAUGCUGGGCACACACUCAUCCAUGCUUAUGAGCUUUUUGGAUAAUUUCUGUAGACAUGAGUGGUCAGUGAAAAAUUUUCAGGACUUCAAAAUUGGCCCAAACCUGAGAUGCUUCUUCACUGAGACUCAUUUCGUGGAUGAAGAAACUAAGGUGAGGAGAGGUGACAUCAUUUCCCCCAGUUCAAGCAAAUGAAACAGCAAAAGACAUGGGAAGCUUGUGUUGCACCUCACUACUAAGGCUGUGGUCUACCACCUCUGAAUAGCUCUGUGCAAAAUGGAGGACGCCCUUUUCUUAACAGGGCUUCCUCUUCUCUGCCGGAUUUGGGAAGCCCAACUCCACUCUUCUGAGGAAUGUUAUGUAAUCCUUGAUGAAAUUACAGGUUCAACCUCCUGGAACACCUCUCCAUGCAAAUGAAGUAUCCCCAGAACCUUAAACCUUAGCCAAUGAAACUUUUACCCUAAGAAGAACCCAUCCCCACUCUCCAGGGUAUAUGUAUACACACACACACACACACACACACACACACACACACACACACACACACAGCCCUUGAUUCAUCACAAUGAAGUGUAUGUGCACAAGCUGUUUUGAUGACAAUUGCCUAAGAGAGCCGUGUUUUUAAGAGCUUGAAUAUCUAAAAUCUGUAACAGUGCAAUCUUCAGAGACUACCCCCCCCUUCCCUGUUCACUGCCAAACUGGAAUCCUGCUGCUGCUGACCCGCCCAUUCUAGACUUUGCUUCAUCCUUUCAGUCCUGUGUGCAUCAGGGCCUGGACACCUCAAGGGAAGAUGUGGACUGUGGAACUCGGCCUUACUCUAUCCUUCCCCACUUGGUGUGUAGCAGGUCCUGGACAUCCUAAGGGAAGAGUU